CGGAGGAAAAGAAACUAACAAGGAUUCCCCUAGUAGCGGCGAGCGAAGCGGGAAGAGCUCAAAUUUAUAAUCUGGCACCUUCGGUGUCCGAGUUGUAAUCUCUAGAAAUGUUUUCCGCGUUGGACCGCACACAAGUCUGUUGGAAUACAGCGGCAUAGUGGUGAGACCCCCGUAUAUGGUGCGGACGCCCAGCGCUUUGUGAUACAUUUUCGAAGAGUCGAGUUGUUUGGGAAUGCAGCUCAAAUUGGGUGGUAAAUUCCAUCUAAAGCUAAAUAUUGGCGAGAGACCGAUAGCGAACAAGUACCGUGAGGGAAAGAUGAAAAGCACUUUGGAAAGAGAGUUAACAGUACGUGAAAUUGUUGGAAGGGAAACGCUUGAAGUCAGACUUGCUUGCCGAGCAAUCGGUUUGCAGGCCAGCAUCAGUUUUCCGGGAUGGAUAAUGGUAGAGAGAAGGUAGCAGUUUCGGCUGUGUUAUAGCUCUCUGCUGGAUACAUCUUGGGGGACUGAGGAACGCAGUGUGCCUUUGGCGGGGGUUUCGACCUCUUCACGCUUAGGAUGCUGGUGGAAUGGCUUUAAACGA
rnacentral:rRNA from 1 species